rnacentral:sRNA from 1 species
AUUCUGCCCAAGCGGGGAAGGAUGAGAAGCUUCGACCAAGGUUCGACUUGAGCGCCAGCGAGAGAGCGUUGCCGCAGGCAACGACCCGAAGGGCGAAGCGCGCAGCGCUGAGUAAUCCUUCCCCCGCCACCA